GUCCCCAUCGUCUAGAGGCCUAGGACAUCGCCCUUUCACGGCGGUAACAGGGGUUCGAAUCCCCUUGGGGAUGCCA
rnacentral:tRNA from 4 species